UACGUAGGGUGCGAGCGUUUAAUCGGAAUUACUGGGCGUAAAGCGUGCGCAGGCGGUUUUGUAAGCCAGAUGUGAAAUCCCCGGGCUCAACCUGGGAAUGGCAUUUGGGACUGCAAGGCUGGAGUUUGGCAGAGGAGACUGGAAUUCCCGGUGUAGCAGUGAAAUGCGUAGAUAUCGGGAGGAAUACCGAUGGCGAAGGCAGGUCUCUGGGCUAUAACUGACGCUCAUGCACGAAAGCGUGGGGAGCAAACAGG
rnacentral:rRNA from 1 species